rnacentral:rRNA from 1 species
UACGGAGGGGGCUAGCGUUGUUCGGAAUGACUGGGCGUAAAGCGCGCGUAGGCGGAUUGGCAAGUUGGGGGUGAAAUCCCGGGGCUCAACCUCGGAAUGGCCUUCAAGACUGCUGGUCUUGAGUUCGAGAGAGGUGAGUGGAAUUCCGAGUGUAGAGGUGAAAUUCGUAGAUAUUCGGAAGAACACCAGUGGCGAAGGCGGCUCACUGGACUGGUAUUGACGCUGAGGUGCGAAAGCGUGGGGAGCAAACAGG